rnacentral:lncRNA from 1 species
AGAAUUUGUCACCUGUGCUGGCUCCCUUGCCUGCCCCCAUGACUGGAGCUGGAUGAGAGGACAGAGGACCCUGUGCCAGCGUCUGGCUUUGGCUUAUGCUGUUCCCUCUGCCUGAAAUGUCCACUCCACCUGGCCUACCUGGUGAACGAAUGUCUACACAUCAAGAAGGAUGUCUGUCCUGACCUCCCAGUGGAAGUGACCUCUUGUUACUAUGGAAAGUCUCACCAAAACUACAGCACAUAAAGUGCAUGAUGUCACAGAGAGGAGCACACUGCCUGCCUGCCCGUGAGUCUGCAGAGUUCCAGAGAUUAUGGGAUCAAGUUACAUCUGAAUCCUAGUGCUGGCUGGACCAUGUGCUAUCACUGUGCCCUGGAGACAGACUUUACAUUUUUCCAGGAA